rnacentral:rRNA from 1 species
GUAAAUAAUAAAGGGCGUAUGGUGGAUGCCUAGGCUCUCAGAGGCGAUGAAGGACGUGAUAAGCUGCGAAAAGCUCCGUUUAGGUGCAAAUAACCUUUGAUGCGGAGAUCUCCGAAUGGGAUAACCCAAUAUGUUGAAGACAUAUUAUACCGUAAGGUAGGCAAACGCAGGGAACUGAAACAUCUAAGUACCUGCAGGAGAAGAAAACAAACGUGAUUCCCCCAGUAGCGGCGAGCGACCGGGGAAAAGCCCAAACCGUUAUUGUUUCGGCAGUAGCGGGGUAGUAGGACUGCGACAUUGAUGAAAUAAAUGAAAUGGAACACCUUGGAAAAUGUGAUCACAGAGGGUGAUAAUCCCGUACAUGCAAGUUUAUGAAUCAUAGCAGACUCCUGAGUAAGUCGGGACACGUGUAAUCCUGACCGAAUCCGCCGGGACCAUCCGGCAAGGCUAAAUACUCCUGAGAGACCGAUAGUGAACCAGUACCGUGAGGGAAAGGUGAAAAGCACUUCGAACAGAAGAGUGAAAUAGUCCCUGAACCCAUACGCCUACAAGCUGUCGGAGCCGCUUCGUGCGGUGACGGCGUGCCUUUUGCAUAAUGAGCCUACGAGUUACUCAUCACCAGCGAGGUUAAGUACUUCAGGUACGUAAGCCGAAGCGAAAGCGAGUCUGAAUAGGGCGUCAAGUUGGUGGUGGUAGACGCGAAACCUUAGUGAUCUACCCAUGGGCAGGGUGAAGGUUUGGUAACACAAACUGGAGGCCCGAACCGGUAAACGUUGAAAAGUUUUCGGAUGACCUGUGGGUAGGGGUGAAAGGCCAAUCAAACUGGGAAAUAGCUCGUACUCUCCGAAAUGCAUUUAGGUGCAGCCUCUGUUGUUUUGUUCUAGAGGUAGAGCUACUGAUUGGAUGCGAGGGCUUCACCGCCUAUCAAAUCCGGCCAAACUCCGAAUGCUAGAACAUGAAGACAGGGAGUGAGCCAGCGGGUGCUAAGGUCCGUUGACGAAAGAGGGAGAACUCAGACCAUCAGCUAAGGUCCCCAAUUAUAUGCUAAGUUGGAAUUAAAACGGGGUGGGACUGCUUAGACAGCUAGGAUGUUGGCUUGGAAGCAGCCAUUCAUUUAAAGAGUGCGUAACAGCUCACUAGUCGAGCGGUCCUGCAUGGAUAAUACGCGGGCAUAAGCAUAUAACCGAAGCUAUGGGAUUGUAGAUGAUACAAUCGGUAGGAGAGCAUUCCAUUCAGCAUAGAAGCAGUACCGUGAGGUAUUGUGGAGCGGAUGGAAAAGCAAAUGUAGGCAUAAGUAACGAUAAUGCGGGUGAGAACCCCGCACGCCGAAAGAUCAAGGAUUCCCCGGCAAUGUCAAUCAUCCGGGGGUAAGUCGGAUCCUAAGGGUAAGCCGAGUGGCGAUCCCGAUGGCAAACAGGUUAAUAUUCCUGUACUGAUCAUAACUGCGAUGCAGCGACGCAGAGGUGACACUGCUGCGUACUGACGGAAUAGUACGUUGAAACCCGUAUUCUUUGAUACCGGUAGUGAAGCACGCCGGUAGAGAUGAAAGGUGAUAGUACCGCAAUGCUUCGGUUGCGCGGAUAACGCAGGUAAGCUGACUGCCAAGAAAACCUGCUAAGCUUCAGGUAAUGAUCAUCCGUACUGUAAACGGACACACGUGAUCAGGUAGAAAAUACUAAGGCGCUCGAGAGAUUCAUGGUUAAGGAACUAGGCAAAAUGGUCCUGUAACUUCGGGAUAAAGGACGCUCUUGUGAAAGAGCCGCAGAUAAUAGGCCCAGGCGACUGUUUACCAAAAACACAUGGCUAUGCUAAUUCGCAAGAAGAUGUAUAUGGCCUGACACCUGCCCGGUGCCGGAAGGUUAAGAGGAGAGCUCAGAGGUAACUCGAAGGUUUGAAUUGAAGCCCCGGUAAACGGCGGCCGUAACUAUAACGGUCCUAAGGUAGCGAAAUUCCUUGUCGGGU